rnacentral:rRNA from 1 species
AACGUAGGACGCAAGCGUUAUCCGGAGUUACUGGGCGUAAAGCGUGUGCAGGCGGUUUGGUAAGUUGGAUGUGAAAGCUCCUGGCUCAACUGGGAGAGGUCGUUCAAUACUGCCAGACUAGAGGACGGUAGAGGAGAGUGGAAUUCCCGGUGUAGUGGUGAAAUGCGUAGAUAUCCGGAGGAACACCAGUGGCGAAGGCGACUCGCUGGGCCUAAACUGACGCUCAGACGCGAAAGCAUGGGGAGCGAACGGG